rnacentral:pre_miRNA from 1 species
UUUUAAGGAUGAGCAAAGAAAGUGGUUUCUUGGGAGUAGAAUCCACUCCUGGUGAAGAUGCUGUGAA